UAAGAUGCAAUGAUAGGAAGAAUAGUAAAUGUAGAUGUUUAAAAGAGAACUGGGUUAGGUGAAAGCCAGUAACAUUAAAGUUUAUGAACAUGGCCCCUGAGCAUGCUAUUCGAAACAUAUAGUAGGAUAGUACGGUAGCAACCGUUAUAUUGCACAGUGAUUAUAUAGUCACUUAAUAAGGUUUUAUUUGUGAAAAUAAAACAAACUAGAGUGGUAACGCGUUAAGUACGCCUCUAUG
rnacentral:ncRNA from 1 species